GAUCGAUUGAGGGCCAUGCCAAGUUGAAGGAACUAUGCAUCUAAUGUAGGGGCAUUUUUACAUCGGGCUCGAGUGGGGAGGCAUGUGGGAUGUAGGGGCACACUCGGGGUGGGUGGCUUGUAUGAGGUAGAACUCAUGUGAUUUGGGGCGCAUGAGGGGGGAUCGACCAAGGGCCUAACCCAUGAGAUGUGGGGCCUAGGCUAUGAGAUAAAGGGAUUGAUUCACCAUGCUUUAUCAGUUCGAGCUUUUGGAGCAAGUAGUUAUUUGUCCUGCAUCAAAGUGAUAUCAGAGUAGAAGAUCUCAUGUUUGAGACUCCUCACUGGGGAUGAUUAAUGCAGGGGUAUUUUCACACCGGGCUCGAGUGGGGUGGCCCCUGGGAUGCAGGAGCAUACUCGGGGUGGGUGGCUCGUGUGAAGCAGAACCCAACCCAUGUGAUUUGGGGCCCACAAGGGGGGUUCGGCCAAGGACAUAACCUAUGAGAUAAAUGGAUUGAUUCGCCAUGCUCUAUCAAUUUGAGCUUUUAAAUCAAGUUGUUAAUUGUCUAGCAUGAGUACUACUUCUAGGAUACAAUUCUCAUAGAUAUCCUUUGAGGUUGAGAUCGUUCCCCAAGUCUUCAAUCUUACAUACAAUUACGUUCCCUGCACUGAAUUUAUGGACAUGAUCCACUUGUUCCUUAAGUAAAUACUUUCAGUUUAUCAAUGCCUUCAAGUUUUUAUGAUGUUUUGAAGUGACAAAUUUGCUCAUCUGUUUAGGUUGUUUACGAAGCUGUCAAUAGCUUGUGGGAUCCUUCUAACUAGAUGAUGGGACAAGUCAAUCGGGAGAGACUCGCUGAAUAUCUUGGGGAGUUGCAGCGGAAGGAGGACACGAAUGAUCGAUAUGUAGCUGCUUUAAGAGGAGAGACUUUGACAAGAAACCCUUAUGUAAGGAUUCAGCCGAUACCCAAGCAAACUGCCGAUGCUGACAAGGAAAAGAAGUAGGCCAACAAGUUGUGAAUGUUUUAUUGGAAGGUUUGUGUUUCGUGAAACCAAUGAAACAUCUCAAAAUCACAUUGUAUACUUGGUGUGACUCUUUUAUUUUUGGAUUUUGGGUGUUACUAUUGUUUUGGAAGAAAACAUUCAUGUGCCUUCUUUCAUCACAUGCAUCUGGAAGAAAACAACUAGGCUAUGUUUGCAUCUUAAUGCUUUGAGACCUUUCUUGGGUAGGCCUUUUUUAGUAUUAAAAGUUUUAUGA